UGCAGUCGACGAUGAGCUGGAGCUUGCUCCAGGGAUUAGUGGCGAACGGGUGAGUAACACGUGAGUAACCUGCCCUUGACUCUGGGAUAAGCGCUAGAAAUGGCGUCUAAUACCGGAUACGAGCUUCAGCCGCAUGGCUAGGAGUUGGAAAGAAUUUUGGUCAAGGAUGGACUCGCGGCCUAUCAGCUAGUUGGUGAGGUAAUGGCUCACCAAGGCGACGACGGGUAGCCGGCCUGAGAGGGUGACCGGCCACACUGGGACUGAGACACGGCCCAGACUCCUACGGGAGGCAGCAGUGGGGAAUAUUGCACAAUGGGCGAAAGCCUGAUGCAGCAACGCCGCGUGAGGGAUGACGGCCUUCGGGUUGUAAACCUCUUUUAGUAGGGAAGAAGCGAAAGUGACGGUACCUGCAGAAAAAGCACCGGCUAACUACGUGCCAGCAGCCGCGGUAAUACGUAGGGUGCAAGCGUUGUCCGGAAUUAUUGGGCGUAAAGAGCUCGUAGGCGGUUUGUCGCGUCUGCUGUGAAAUCUGGGGGCUCAACCCCCAGCCUGCAGUGGGUACGGGCAGACUAGAGUGCGGUAGGGGAGAUUGGAAUUCCUGGUGUAGCGGUGGAAUGCGCAGAUAUCAGGAGGAACACCGAUGGCGAAGGCAGAUCUCUGGGCCGUAACUGACGCUGAGGAGCGAAAGCAUGGGGAGCGAACAGGAUUAGAUACCCUGGUAGUCCAUGCCGUAAACGUUGGGAACUAGAUGUGGGGGCCAUUCCACGGUCUCCGUGUCGCAGCUAACGCAUUAAGUUCCCCGCCUGGGGAGUACGGCCGCAAGGCUAAAACUCAAAGGAAUUGACGGGGGGCCCGCACAA
rnacentral:rRNA from 1 species